rnacentral:rRNA from 1 species
CGCGUAGGUGGUUUGGUCAGUCAGAUGUGAAAGCCCCGGGCUUAACCUGGGAACUGCAUUUGAUACUGCCAGACUAGAGUAUGGUAGAGGGAAGUGGAAUUCCGGGUGUAGCGGUGAAAUGCGUAGAUAUCCGGAGGAACAUCAGUGGCGAAGGCGGCUUCCUGGACCAAUACUGACACUGAGGUGCGAAAGCGUGGGUAGCAAACA